rnacentral:rRNA from 1 species
UACGUAGGGGGCUAGCGUUGUUCGGAAUCACUGGGCGUAAAGCGCACGUAGGCGGGUUCUUAAGUCAGGGGUGAAAUCCCGAGGCUCAACCUCGGAACUGCCUUUGAUACUGGGAAGCUUGAGUUCGGGAGAGGUGAGUGGAAUUGCGAGUGUAGAGGUGAAAUUCGUAGAUAUUCGCAAGAACACCAGUGGCGAAGGCGGCUCACUGGCCCGAUACUGACGCUGAGGUGCGAAAGCGUGGGGAGCAAACAGG